UCGAACGACAUCCCUCUGGAUUGACAGAGGGAUAGACCAAUAAGAGACGGAGACAGCUCCGAGGUGGCCCAAUCAGAAAACGGGAAGAUGAAGGUUCUGUGCGCAAUCCGAAAGAGGAGAGGUUCUGAUGGAUCGGCAGCGCUUUGGACCAAUGAAAGUCGGCAACAGCGUCCGUCUGUCGGCGAUGUAAGCGAGAAGAGAGAAUGAAAAGUUAGGCGGAGCUUAAGGUGACUGGCAGGUGGAUGGACAAUUUGUGUAUUGUCCAAUCAGCACUUCACACACAGGGACACGGGAGACGGAGGCGGGAUUUGGCGUGUAUGUGGAAGAGUGAGUACAACGAGAGUAAUCAUGCUAAAGCACCUAUCGCUAUAGCACAGUAAAACAGCGGAAGAUGCCAAAGGAAGAUGUCUUCAAGGAAAAGAAGGGAAGGAAUGUGAUGGAGGAAACCUGUCAAUCAAGAAGGGAAUGCUUUAGGUGGAAAGUGACCUGUUGUGUUUGUGAAAGCUCUGGAAUCCCACAGGAGAAGGAUCACUCAACACCAUGGCAAUCUGCCAAGUACAACUUGUUCUGAAACACAGUGGCUCUGAGAAGAUGCAUUAUCAUCUGAAACACAAUGUCAUCAUAGUGGGAGAUAUGACUUUGGGAGCGCAGUCUCCGUCUUAGUUAUCGUUGGCUGAACGGCUGCGCAGAAUUAGAAAGUGGCCCCAAAGAACUAAGGAGAACUUCUGUGUGAUGUCAUGAUGCCCUCCGCGACCAAAAAACAAGAAUUGAAGGAGUGGUGGGAUAGCAAGAAGAGGGACUGAAAGGAGAACGUGACAUGCCAGAACAAAGCCACGGAGCAGCUCUUAAAGGUUAUGGAGUGCCAAAUGGACACGCUCCAGGCAUUACUAGCACUACAAACCGAGCAGCUUUGCACCCACCCUCCCCUGCAGCUGCUGUUGCAAAACUUUCCCACGCACCCCCCAGACACCGCCAACACACUUAUCAACCUCCUAGCUCCAGUCUGUACCAGCUGCAUUCCAUUCCUGCCCUGUCACAGUCCAGUCCUGCAGACUCCCAGUACCCACUGCAUUCAACACCUGUCCCUCUGCAGUUUAGUCCUGCUGAAGUACAG